rnacentral:rRNA from 1 species
UACGUAGGGGCGAGCGUUGUCCGGAAUUAUUGGGCGUAAAGAGCUCGUAGGCGGCUCAGCAAGUCGGCUGUGAAAUCCCGAGGCUCAACCUCGGAACUGCAGUCGAUACUGCUGCGGCUAGAGUCUGGUAGAGGAGAGUGGAAUUCCCGGUGUAGCGGUGAAAUGCGUAGAUAUUAGGAAGAACACCAGUGGCGAAGGCGGCUUUCUGGACUGUAACUGACACUGAGGCAUGAAAGCGUGGGGAGCAAACAGGAUUAGA